UAAAAAAUAAAAUUUACCUCAUAUAUAAUGGGAAUACGGCCCAUAAGUUUCUACCCGACAACCCUAAAUUGUUGGACUAUGAGGAAAGUGAAUA
rnacentral:ncRNA from 1 species